rnacentral:rRNA from 1 species
GACGAACGCUGGCGGCGUGCUUAACACAUGCAAGUCGAACGAUGAACCACUUCGGUGGGGAUUAGUGGCGAACGGGUGAGUAACACGUGGGCAAUCUGCCCUUCACUCUGGGACAAGCCCUGGAAACGGGGUCUAAUACCGGAUAACACUCCUACUCGCAUGGGUGGGGGUUGAAAGCUCCGGCGGUGAAGGAUGAGCCCGCGGCCUAUCAGCUUGUUGGUGAGGUAGUGGCUCACCAAGGCGACGACGGGUAGCCGGCCUGAGAGGGCGACCGGCCACACUGGGACUGGGACACGGCCCAGACUCCUACGGGAGGCAGCAGUGGGGAAUAUUGCACAAUGGGCGAAAGCCUGAUGCAGCGACGCCGCGUGAGGGAUGACGGCCUUCGGGUUGUAAACCUCUUUCAGCAGGGAAGAAGCGAAAGUGACGGUACCUGCAGAAGAAGCGCCGGCUAACUACGUGCCAGCAGCCGCAGUAA